rnacentral:rRNA from 1 species
UGAGGAAUAUUGGGCAAUGCCCGCAAGGGUGACCCAGCAACGCCGCGUGGAGGAUGAAUGUCGUAAGAUUGUAAACUCCUGUUAGAGGGGAAGAAUAGUACCGGUUGGACCGGUAUAUGACUGUACCCUCAGAGAAAGCCCCGGCUAACUACGUGCCAGCAGCCGCGGUAAUACGUAGGGGGCAAGCGUUGUCCGGAAUUAUUGGGCGUAAAGCGCGCGCAGGCGGUUCUUUAAGUCUGGUGUCUAAGUGCGGGGCUCAACCCCGUGACGCACUGGAAACUGGGGGACUUGAGUGCAGAAGAGGAGAGCGGAAUUCCACGUGUAGCGGUGAAAUGCGUAGAGAUGUGGAGGAACACCAGUGCCGAAGGCGGCUCUCUGGCCUGUAACUGACGCUGAGGCGCGAAAGCGUGGGGAGCAAACA